CUCAAGCAUGCUAAAGAUCAAGAACACUGUUCUCAAGUGUUUUACCUGCCCACGCUUUGCACCCAGGGCAUAUUUUGAGUGAAAGAGUCGAGACCUGCAUCUAGAGGCCCCUAAGAAUGGACUAAGGCUGGGCAGUCUUUGCCAUGGACAAAAUGAUCAAAACCAGCUGCUCCGUGGAGUUCUUCAUUGAAAGGAAGAGAGAGGUGGAGUUGGCAGUGAAGCGGGAUCUGCAGACACACUUCAGCAUCAAGCUGACUUAUCACUCCUCUGGAAACGGUUAACAUGCCUGGUCCAGCCACCCGUCAUGUGGAUGUGAUGUGCCUCUCAGCAGUUCUGAAGAUGACAGAAUUCACUUGCAGAUCUAAAAGAGACAAACAGAAGCUGGAAAUUGUACAUAGAGUUGAUAGGAAAACCACCUGAUUACAAAUCACUUAUCGGAAAUGCUAUGUGGAGAAGAAUUAGAAGACAUGGUCACUGAGCAGGAAGAGACAUGACUCUGCCAAGGUAUUAUUGGAAAGGUUGGAGGUGAUCUACUAUAUGGAAGCAUCUCUGAAGUCUAGACAUAAAUCAUCACAGUUCUAGAAAAAGUGGAAGAGAAAACACACCUUUGUAAAAGGACUGGAACAUAGGAAAGUGAUUGAGUUUGAAACACCAACAAAACCAUAUAGGGUGACGGACAGAAACCAGAUUAUAAGGUGUUAAGGAGGGAGGAAGAAAAGACAAAUCAAGAAAACCCCAGGCCCCACCAGCAGAGCAGCAGAGCAGCAGAGUGGCAGAGUGGC